CAGCCGCCGCGGUAAUACGUAGGUCCCGAGCGUUGUCCGGAUUUAUUGGGCGUAAAGGGAGCGCAGGCGGUCAGGAAAGUCUGGAGUAAAAGGCUAUGGCUCAACCAUAGUGUGCUCUGGAAACUGUCUGACUUGAGUGCAGAAGGGGAGAGUGGAAUUCCAUGUGUAGCGGUGAAAUGCGUAGAUAUAUGGAGGAACACCAGUGGCGAAAGCGGCUCUCUGGUCUGUCACUGACGCUGAGGCUCGAAAGCGUGGGUAGCGAACAGGAUUAGAUACCCCGGUAGUCCCUGUCUCUUAUACC
rnacentral:rRNA from 1 species